GAAGUCUGACGGAGCACGCCGCGUGAGUGAUGAAGGUUUUCGGAUCGUAAAACUCUGUUGUUAGGGAAGAACAAGUACCGUUCGAAUAGGGCGGUACCUUGACGGUACCUAACCAGAAAGCCACGGCUAACUACGUGCCAGCAGCCGCGG
rnacentral:rRNA from 1 species